UCCAAACUGGCGUUUAUCUCACCCCAGCUACUGUUUGGGAGUGUCUGGUCUGGAACCAAGUGCAAGAAGCACAACUGAAUUCGGUACCCUAUUUUCCCUUGGUGGAAGAUGGGGGCAGGAGUCAUUGAAAGGGGGUUCUAAGACACACUGCUUGCCAGCAAGUAUGAACUGUCUUCUCGGACCAUCUGUUGGGCAUGUUCAGGAAUUGCAAAUGAGACCCAUCCUGAAGUGCUGGAGAGAAGCAGGGAAUCUAACACCUGUCUUGACUGAAGCUAAUGGCUGUGUCCAGGAGUAGUAUGGGCACAGAACAUCCUAAAAUUGAUUAAAACCAGGACUGAAACAGGGAAUUUUUUUAGGUUUUGAGUGCUUAAACUGGGACAUUUCUGAAGGACGGGGACUCCUGGUUCUCCUGUGCUGUGUUUGCCUGGCCCUUGCAGGAGCGCCCGGGGGCACCUACAGUGACGUGAGUUAAUCUGGUCUCAACCCCUCAGCUGCUGCUGCCACAGCGCAAUGCUCAGUGCCUGAGAAAGGAGGAGAAUGUCAUGGGCUCGCAGUGGGAACCCCCGACGGAAACCCCUGAAGCUGUAUUCAACAGGUCCUUUAACAUGCACUUACCCACUGAAGGAAAUGGGUGAUUUAGAAGAUUCGGAGCGGGACACAGAACUGGCACCUUGUGGUUCCUGAAGAAAUCUGGUACAAGAUUUGUUGUGUGAAGGAGUGCUUCGGCUCCUCCCAGGCUAGGAGAAGGAAAGCAGGCUCCCUGCAGAGGGAAUCGACCCUGGGAAGCCCUACAUUGACCUCAGCUCUCAGUCCGAUCUGGCUGCGGGCAGGCUGCA